UUUUUUUCUUAACAUGUGCCAAUUAUUUGUCUCCUAUCUGCAGGUACUGGCAAGUAUCAGCGCUCUGGUCCCACUGUCUACAGCCUUAUCCAUUUGGCGCCUGCUUCAGCCCUCUCACAUUACCAGCAGUGGGGUCUGUUUUCAGCUGUGAAAAGCUGAAUUGAGGAUGGAAAGAUGGAGGAAGGGAGGAUGGACAUCUGCUCCUUCUCACACUCACAGUAACUCCAGGACUUGGCAGAUUGGGUGGCUACCCAGCUAGAAAAAGCUAGAUCUCAGAGGAAGUACUUUGUUUUCCACCAUGGCAGCUUGGUCCCAAAAGGAUUUCAGAAGUUUUUAAAUGUGGAUGAAACAGUCACAGAGAUUUGCACACACUGCUAUGUGGCAUUCUGUGCUAAGAGGUGCUUCAUACACGAAAU